rnacentral:rRNA from 1 species
ACGAACGCUGGCGGCUGCCUAAUACAUGCAAGUAGAACGAGUUGCGAACGGGUGAGUAACGCGUGAGCAACCUGCCUAUGACAGUGGGAUAGCCUCGGGAAACCGGGAUUAAUACCGCAUAGUCAUAGAUGGGCUCGCGUCUGAUUAGCUAGUUGGUGAGAUAACAGCCCACCAAGGCGACGAUCAGUAGCCGGUCUGAGAGGAUGAACGGCCACAUUGGAACUGAGACACGGUGCAAACUCCUACGGGAGGCAGCAGUGGGGAAUAUUGCACAAUGGGGGAAACCCUGAUGCAGCGACGCCGCGUGAACGAAGAAGGUAUUCGUAUCGUAAAGUUCUGUCCUAUGGGAAGCAGUACCAUAGAAGAAAGCUCCGGCUAAAUACGUGCCAGCAGCCGCGGUAAUAC